UACAGAGGGUGCGAGCGUUAAUCGGAAUUACUGGGCGUAAAGCGCGCGUAGGCGGCUUUGCAAGUCGGGUGUGAAAUCCCCAGGCUCAACCUGGGAACUGCGUCCGAUACUGGCGGGCUUGAAUCCGGGAGAGGGAUGCGGAAUUCCAGGUGUAGCGGUGAAAUGCGUAGAUAUCUGGAGGAACACCGGUGGCGAAGGCGGCAUCCUGGACCGGCAUUGACGCUGAGGCGCGAAAGCUAGGGGAGCAAACGGG
rnacentral:rRNA from 1 species